rnacentral:rRNA from 1 species
GACGAACGCUGGCGGCGUGCUUAACACAUGCAAGUCGAACGGAAAGGCCCAGCUUGCUGGGUACUCGAGUGGCGAACGGGUGAGUAACACGUGGGUGAUCUGCCCUGCACUCUGGGAUAAGCCUGGGAAACUGGGUCUAAUACCGGAUAUGACCAACUGUCGCAUGGUGGUUGGUGGAAAGCUUUUGCGGUGUGGGAUGGGCGCGCGGCCUAUCAGCUUGUUGGUGGGGUAGUGGCGUACCAAGGCGAUGACGGGUAGCCGGCCUGAGAGGGGGAACGGCCACAUUGGGACUGAGAUACGGCCCAGACGCCUACGGGAGGGAGCAGUGGGGAAUAGGGCACAAGGGGCGGAAGCCUGAUGCAGCAACGCCGCGUGCGGGAUGAUGGCGUUCGGGGUGUAAAACGCUUUCGCCUGGGACGAAGCGUGAGUGACGGGAAUGGGUAAAGAAGCACCGGCUAACUACGUG